rnacentral:rRNA from 1 species
AACGAACGCUGGCGGCAGGCUUAACACAUGCAAGUCGAACGCCCCGCAAGGGGAGUGGCAGACGGGUGAGUAACGCGUGGGAACAUACCCUUUCCUGCGGAAUAGCUCCGGGAAACUGGAAUUAAUACCGCAUACGCCCUACGGGGGAAAGAUUUAUCGGGGAAGGAUUGGCCCGCGUUGGAUUAGCUAGUUGGUGGGGUAAAGGCCUACCAAGGCGACGAUCCAUAGCUGGUCUGAGAGGAUGAUCAGCCACAUUGGGACUGAGACACGGCCCAAACUCCUACGGGAGGCAGCAGUGGGGAAUAUUGGACAAUGGGCGCAAGCCUGAUCCAGCCAUGCCGCGUGAGUGAUGAAGGCCUUAGGGUUGUAAAGCUCUUUCACCGAUGAAGAUAAUGACGGUAGUCGGAGAAUAAGCCCCGGCUAACUUCGUG